GAAGACAAAUGAUAAUUCGUACAGAAUCGGGAAUACUUCAAUUUGUAAAAAUGUUAAAUAAUUUUAAAAUAAAAUGCGUUAACAAUAAAAAUAUUUGUUAUCAUCAUAGAUAUCUUCUAUUAUCAUUAUGAAAUAAAACUAAUGAUAAAACCCCUUGCUAAAGUGAGUGCACUAUAUAAAAGCAGUCUAUCUCUCAUCCACAUUCCGGACCGCGACCCCUUGUAUUGUUAAUAUAUGAUUGGCCUAUCCAUUCUUCUAUUAUCUAUGACAAUACUAGAUAGCGAACUCCUGUUAUCAGGUAAAGCGUGUCACUGAUGUAGCCGCCAUUUUUUCGGGAGUCAAAAUAAUUCUGCCAUAACCUGGAUAUAAUACAAAUAUUACGAAUAUACUUACAUUACAAUUUAUAUUAUUUUUGUGACAAUAAAUGUUAAAUUAUAUAUUCAAUUAAUAAUCAAAUAUGCCUUAUUCGUGUGUUGCGUACGGCUGUGCAAAUAGGGCUUCACCUGAACAGUCUACACAAUUUUUCCGAUAAUAUUCCUGAACCAGAUGAUAUUUCAAUUAAUGAGUCACAGUCUACAAGAGAUGUAGAAGUUCAAACUAUAUAUAGUUUUAUCAGUGAAACUGAGUUAAAACAUAAAAUAAAAAUUUUAAAACUAAAGCUUAGGAGAAAAGAAAAGAAAAUUAAUAAUUUAAGAGAUCUCUUAGAUUAUUUAUGCGAUCAAGGUUUAAUUGAUGGUAAACAUGGAAGAUUAAUUGAAAAUAAUUUUAUUGAACUAUAUUAAGCCUACCACAUCUGUCAUCUAUUAGCUACUGGACUUAUUCUGUUGAUGCUAAACCAGGUUUCUUCGAUGAAGUAUUUGAAUAUUUGAAAUGUAUUCCACACAGUGACAAGGAUUACAAUUUAGUUUUUGAUUCUAUGUUAAUAGAAAAGAAAUAAUGUAUGAUAUUAUUGAAAAUAAAUUUCUGAGUUAUUGUAAUUUUGGAGGAAUUCAAGUUGAAGCACAGGAGACCCUAGCAACAGAAGCAUUAGUUUUCAUGUUAGUUUGAUUGAAUGGAAAGUGGAAAUAUCCAAUUGGUUACUUUUUAUAAUCUUCAAGUACUGCAAUUAUAGAGGCAGGUCUUAUAAAAACUGCAAUUACAAUGGCAAAUAAUGUUGGUGUUUGAGUUUGGGGUGUAAUAUGUGAUGGUACCAGUACUAACUUAUCCACUAUGUCACAUCUUGGAUGUAAACUUCAUGGAUCAUAUGAUGAGUUAGUAGAAUAUUUUUGUAUUCCUGGCAUAGAUUGAUUUAUUAUAUACCAGAAGAGUGUCACAAUAUUAAAUUGGCAAGAAAUGCUCCUGGUACUUACCAGAAAUUUAGAAGUGUUGAUGGCAUAAUUGAUUGGAAAUUAAUCCAAGAUCUUAAUAGAGCUCAAGAGAAUAUAGGGUCUCAUUUGGCUAAUAAAUUAACAUCUGCUCAUAUUGAUUGGAGAGAAAAUAUAAUGAAAGUGAAAAUGGCUGCACAGACCUUGAGCUCCUCAACUGCUGAUGCAAUAAAAUUCCUUCGGAUGUUAGAAGAAUCAACAUUUAAAAACAGUGAAGCAACAGAACGGGUUAGUUAUUAUGCAGACACUGAUAGUAACGUAGGCUGCCGUUACGUACCUUUAUUUUAUACCUAUACACACGCAUGCGCGUGACAUUAAAAAAACCAAAUGUAUAUCUAAUUUUUUUAAGUCAG